CCUACGGGUGGCAGCAGUGAGGCAUAUUGGUCAAUGGCCGCAGGGCUGAACCAGCCAAGUCGCGUGAGGGAUGACGGUCCUCUGGAUUGUAAAACUCUUUUGUCAGGGAGCAAAGGGCGCCACGUGUGGCGUUUUGAGAGUAACUGAAGAAAAAGCAUCGGCUAACUACGUGCCAGCCGCCGCGGUAAUACGGAGGAUGCGAGCGUUAUCCGGAAUCAUUGGGCGUAAAGCGGUAGUAGGCGGCAUGUAAAGUCCGGUGUUAAAGGCGCAGGCUCAACAUGUGUAUGGCACUUGAUACUGGCAAGCUGGAAUGCGGUAGAGGUAAAGGGAAUUCCUGGUGUAGCGGUGAAAUGCUUAGAUAUCAGGAGGAACAUCGGUGGCGUAAGCGCUUUACGGGGCCGUAAUUGACGCUGAGGAACGAAAGCCAGGGUAGCAAAUGGGAUUAGAUACCCCAGUAGUC
rnacentral:rRNA from 1 species